UUGGUUAAGUUAGAAAGGGCGCACGGUGGAUGCCUUGGCACUAGGAGCCGAAGAAGGACGGGACUAACACCGAUAUGCUUUGGGGAGCUGUACGUAAGCGUUGAUCCAGAGAUUUCCGAAUGGGGGAACCCACUAUCUUUAGUCGGAUAGUAUCCUUACGUGAAUACAUAGCGUGAGGAAGGCAGACCCAGGGAACUGAAACAUCUAAGUACCUGGAGGAAGAGAAAGAAAAAUCGAUUUCCUGAGUAGCGGCGAGCGAAACGGAAAGAGCCCAAACCAAGAAGCUUGCUUCUUGGGGUUGUAGGACACUCUAUACGGAGUUACAAAAGAAAGUUAUAAAUGAAGCGGUCUGGAAAGGCCCGCCAAAGACGGUAACAGCCCGGUAGUUGAAAUAGCUUUCCCUCCAGAGUGGAUCCUGAGUACGGCGGAACACGUGAAAUUCCGUCGGAAUCCGGGAGGACCAUCUCCCAAGGCUAAAUACUCCCUAGUGACCGAUAGUGAACCAGUACCGUGAGGGAAAGGUGAAAAGCACCCCGGAAGGGGAGUGAAACAGUUCCUGAAACCGUGUGCCUACAAGUAGUUAGAGCCCGUUAAUGGGUGAUAGCGUGCCUUUUGUAGAAUGAACCGGCGAGUUACGAUUUGUUGCAAGGUUAAGCGGAAAAAGCGGAGCCGUAGCGAAAGCGAGUCUGAAUAGGGCGCAUAAGUAACAGGUCGUAGACCCGAAACCAGGUGAUCUACCCAUGUCCAGGAUGAAGGUAAGGUAAUACUUACUGGAGGUCCGAACCCACGCACGUUGAAAAGUGCGGGGAUGAGGUGUGGGUAGCGGAGAAAUUCCAAUCGAACUUGGAGAUAGCUGGUUCUCUCCGAAAUAGCUUUAGGGCUAGCCUCGAGGUAAAGAGUCAUGGAGGUAGAGCACUGUUUGGACUAGGGGCCCUUCUCGGGUUACCGAAUUCAGAUAAACUCCGAAUGCCAUGUACUUAUACUCGGGAGUCAGACUGCGAGUGAUAAGAUCCGUAGUCGAAAGGGAAACAGCCCAGACCACCAGUUAAGGUCCCCAAAUAUAUGUUAAGUGGAAAAGGAUGUGGGGUUGCUUAGACAACCAGGAUGUUGGCUUAGAAGCAGCCACCAUUGAAAGAGUGCGUAAUAGCUCACUGGUCGAGUGACCCCGCGCCGAAAAUGUACCGGGGCUAAACAUAUUACCGAAACUGUGGAUGAACCUCUUUAGAGGUUCGUGGUAG
rnacentral:rRNA from 1 species